UACGUAGGCAGCGAGCGUUGUUCGGAAUUACUGGGCGUAAAGAGUGUGUAGGCGGUGUUCCCAGUCUGUUGUGAAAUCUCCCGGCUUAACUGGGAGGGUGCAGCGGAAACUAGAAUGCUAGAGGGUGGGAGAGGUAAGCGGAAUUCCUGGUGUAGCGGUGAAAUGCGUAGAUAUCAGGAGGAACACCUGUGGUGUAGACAGCUUACUGGACCACUUCUGACGCUGAGACACGAAAGCGUGGGCAGCAAACAGG
rnacentral:rRNA from 1 species